CCUACGGGAGGCAGCAGUAGGGAAUAUUGGGCAAUGGAGGCAACUCUGACCCAGCCAUGCCGCGUGCAGGAUGAAGGCGUUAUGCGUUGUAAACUGCUUUUAUAUAGGAAGAAAUAGACCUUGCGAGGUAAGUUGACGGUACUAUAUGAAUAAGCACCGGCUAACUCCGUGCCAGCAGCCGCGGUAAUACGGAGGGUGCAAGCGUUGUCCGGAUUUAUUGGGUUUAAAGGGUGCGUAGGCGGUUUAUUAAGUCAGUGGUGAAAGACGGUCGCUCAACGAUUGCAGUGCCAUUGAUACUGGUAGACUUGAGUAUGAUUGAGGUAGCUGGAAUGGAUAGUGUAGCGGUGAAAUGCAUAGAUAUUAUCCAGAACACCAAUUGCGUAGGCAAGUUACUAAGUCAUAACUGACGCUGAUGCACGAAAGUGUGGGUAUCAAACAGGAUUAGAUACCCUGGUAGUCCACACUGUAAACGAUGAUAACUAACUGUUGGCUUUCGGGUCAGUGGUACAGAGAAAUCGUUAAGUUAUCCACCUGGGGAGUACGCCGGCAACGGUGAAACUCAAAUGAAAUUGACGGCUGAGACGNGCGAGCGACACGAGGGAGAGG
rnacentral:rRNA from 1 species